rnacentral:rRNA from 1 species
CUAUACUAUUCAGAGUUUGAUCCUGGCUCAGGAUGAACGCUGGCGGCGUGCUUAACACAUGCAAGUCGAACGAAGCACUUAUCAUUGAGACCUCCGGGUGGAUUUGAUAUUUGACUGAGUGGCGGACGGGUGAGUAACGCGUGGGUAACCUGCCUUGGACAGUGGGAUAACAGUUGGAAACGACUGCUAAUACCGCAUAAGCGCACAGUACCGCAUGGUACAGUGUGAAAAACUCCGGUGGUUCAAGAUGGACCCGCGUCUGAUUAGCUAGUUGGUGGGGUAACGGCCUACCAAGGCAACGAUCAGUAGCCGACUUGAGAGAGUGAUCGGCCACAUUGGGACUGAGACACGGCCCAA